rnacentral:lncRNA from 1 species
CUCGACAACAACAUUGACAUAAUUUGUUGCCAAUGUUGGGAACAUGCAAAAAAUGCUAAAUUUACAUGUGUUUGUAAAUUAGAUACAUUUAAUUUUAAUUGUAUGCUACUUUAUUUUCAACUGCACAACACAGUAAAAUAAAUAUAAACAGCAAAAUAAUCACUAAGCUAUUUCAAUCACUGUUAAUAUUAUUUGCUGUCCUUUAUCUGUAUUCUUCCCUUUCAUCAUCAUUAUUAUUUUAUACUUUAAUUUUACAUUCUAAAUUUAGAAUGCUAGCUAAUCAGAUUUUUCAUAUAAUUAUAUAAAUCCUAUUUAUCUACAUGAUAAUAUAUCUGAAAAUACUAAGCAGUUUGUGUGUCCUCAUUAUAUUUUAACUUAUGCAAACUCUUCCACAAACAUAUAUUGUACCUUGUCCAGACUGUUCACAAAAGGAAAUGAAGUAUAAUUUUAACUUUUCAUUGAAGAGUUUCUUUUUGCUCAAUCUUAUUACCACAAAGAAAAUUUUAAACAACAAAGUACAACUAACUAAAACUCAUGACACUGAAAACAUG